GACGUAGGAUGCGAGCGUUGUCCGGAUUUAUUGGGCGUAAAGAGUUCGUAGGUGGUUCGUUAAGUCUGGUGUAAAAGACUGGGGCUCAACCCUGGGAUCGCACUGGAUACUGGCGGACUGGAGUGUGGUAGAGGCAAGCGGAAUUCCCAGUGUAGCGGUGAAAUGCGUAGAUAUUGGGAAGAACACCGGUGGCGCAAGCGGCUUGCUGGGCCAUAACUGACACUGAGGAACGAAAGCUAGGGGAGCGAAUGGGAUUAGAUACCCCAGUAGUCCUAGCUGUAAACGAUGGAUACUAGACGUAUCGGGUAUCGACCCCUGAUGUGUCGCAGCAAACGCGAUAAGUAUCCCGCCUGAGUAGUACGGCCGCAAGGUUGAA
rnacentral:rRNA from 1 species